rnacentral:rRNA from 2 species
UUGACCUCGGAUCAGGUAGGGAUACCCGCUGAACUUAAGCU